rnacentral:rRNA from 1 species
UACGUAGGGUGCGAGCGUUGUCCGGAAUUAUUGGGCGUAAAGAGCUCGUAGGCGGUCUGUUGCGUCCGCUGUGAAAACUCGGGGCUUAACCCCGAGCCUGCAGUGGAUACGGGCAGACUAGAGGUAGGUAGGGGAGAAUGGAAUUCCCGGUGUAGCGGUGAAAUGCGCAGAUAUCAGGAGGAACACCGGUGGCGAAGGCGGGUCUCUGGGCCGAUACUGACGCUGAGGAGCGAAAGCGUGGGGAGCGAACAGG